rnacentral:rRNA from 1 species
GAUGAACGCUAGCGGCAGGCUUAAUACAUGCAAGUCGAGGGACAGCACAGGUAGCAAUACUGGGUGGUAACCGGCAAACGGGUGCGGAACACGUACACAACCUUCCUUUAAGUGGGGAAUAGCCCAGAGAAAUUUGGAUUAAUACCCCGUAAUAUAGUUGAAUGGCAUCAUUUGAUUAUUAUAGCUACGGCGCUUAAUGAUGGGUGUGCGGCUGAUUAGAUAGUUGGCGGGGUAACGGCCCACCAAGUCUACGAUCAGUAGCUGAUGUGAGAGCAUGAUCAGCCACACGGGCACUGAGACACGGGCCCGACUCCUGCGGGAGGCAGCAGUAAGGAAUAUUGGUCGAUGGACGCAAGUCUGAACCAGCCAUGCCGCGUGAAGGAUUAAGGUCCUCUGGAUUGUAAACUUCUUUUAUUUGGGACGAAAAAGGGCCUUUCUAGGUCAACUGACGGUACCAGAUGAAUAAGCACCGGCUAACUCCGUGCCAGCCGCCGCAGUAACAC